GGCGUCGCAGCCCGAAAACACGCCGGAGAAUUUCACAGCCGAGCCGGCGAAAAGCUACGCGAGCAGCGAGACAAUCGAAAGACUUGGAGCCUGUCACACGCAACGAGAGAGGCCACUUGGAGCCCUCACGAUCUUCUGGCUGCGAGGUCCAAGGAAAUGAAGGGAUGGAUGGAUUUUCACCCUUCCCCGGUGGCCGCCACUGGGGGGAUGGGGGCAGCACCGCUGUGCUCGUCUCGUGAAGAGGGAGUCAGCGGCAAAAUUGCUUUUUGUUUCGCCAGGGUCCUGAGUGUGUCUUCGUCUUAGGACCGGACCCUGCGACGCACCCCGCUCGCUUCUCUCGGCUUGAAACCCUCUAAUUGCUCUGGGAUGACACUCAGCAAUCUGCCAUUGCUGCACCGGGCCGCUCGCCCCCGCCUCGUCGUUCAACGAUCAAAGAAAAAAACAACAACCAUGUGGUUAACCCUCGCCCGACAACGCCAAAUGUCUGGUUACAUUCG